rnacentral:lncRNA from 1 species
UACCAUAUAAUUAAAAAAAUCCACAAAAAAAUCUCUCUACAUAAAUAUACAAAGAACACACCAUUGGUUUAAUCUUGUAAAAACUAGCUAAGAAGCAAACAUGUUGAGAGGCAUUAUCCAACCAUAUUAAGCAACCCCAUCUAACCAUAUCCCUACAACUAAAACAUCUAAAACUACUCCGUCCACCCUGCGAUCUGGUGUCGCCCGGCACUUCCCUAUUGUCCUCGUUCUCAGAUCCGCUCGAGACUUCUCCAUACGUGCUCGCUGUCUGCCCGCCCCGCACCAACCACGCUUCCUCCAAUCACCCUCCCGUCUCCCCUCCCUCUCUCGAGAUCCCUCUCCCUCGUGCCCCUCGCUGUGCUCACUCGCACGCGUGGGUCGCCCAUGCCGCCACCUCCUCUCCC